rnacentral:rRNA from 1 species
UACGUAGGGUGCAAGCGUUGUCCGGAAUUAUUGGGCGUAAAGAGCUUGUAGGCGGUUUGUCGCGUCUGCUGUGAAAUUUCGGGGCUCAACCCCGAACUUGCAGUGGGUACGGGCAGACUAGAGUGUGGUAGGGGAGACUGGAAGUUCCUGGUGUAGCGGUGAAAUGCGCAGAUAUCAGGAGGAACACCGGUGGCGAAGGCGGGUCUCUGGGCCGAUACUGACGCUGAGGAGCGAAAGCGUGGGGAGCGAACAGG